AAUCUUCGGCAAUGGACGAAAGUCUGACCGAGCAAUGCCGCGUGAGUGAAGAAGGUCUNCGGAUUNUNAAGCUCUGUUAUUAGGANAGAAAGAAUAGUAUAGGAAAUGAUAUUAUUUUGACGGUACCGAAUGAGAAAGCCACGGCUAACUACGUGCCAGCAGCCGCGGUAAUACGUAGGUGGCAAGCGUUGUCCGGAAUUAUUGGGCGUAAAGAGUGCGUAGGCGGUUAAUUAAGUCUAGUUUGAAAGCCCAUGGCUUAACCAUGGAGGGUGACUAGAAACUGGUUAACUUGAGGAUAGGAGAGGAAAGUGGAAUUCCACGUGUAGCGGUGAAAUGCGUAGAUAUGUGGAGGAACACCAAUGGCGAAGGCAGCUUUCUGGCCUAUAACUGACGCUAAUGCACGAAAGCGUGGGUAGCAAACAG
rnacentral:rRNA from 1 species